rnacentral:misc_RNA from 1 species
AACGCACGAGACCUGCGGACCUGCGGAAGGAUCAUUACCGAGUUUACAACUCCCAAACCCAAUGUGAACGUUACCAAACUGUUGCCUCGGCGGGAUCUCUGCCCCGGGUGCGUCGCAGCCCCGGACCAAGGCGCCCGCCGGAGGACCAACCAAAACUCUUUUGUAUACCCCCUCGCGGGUUUUUAUAUAUCUGAGCCAUCUCGGCGCCUCUCGUAGGCGUUUCGAAAAUGAAUCAAAACU